AGUGAACGCUGGCGGCAGGCCUAAUACAUGCAAGUCGAACGGCAGCACAGUGGAGCUUGCUCCAUGGGUGGCGAGUGGCGGACGGGUGAGGAAUACAUGGGAAUCUGCCCAGUCGUGGGGGAUAACGUAGGGAAACUUACGCUAAUACCGCAUGCGCCCUUCGGGGGAAAGCCGGGGACCUUCGGGCCUGGCGCGAUUGGAUGAGCCCAUGUUCGAUUAGCUAGUUGGCGGGGUAAAGGCCCACCAAGGCGACGAUCGAUAGCUGGUCUGAGAGGAUGAUCAGCCACACUGGGACUGAGACACGGUCCAGACUCCUACGGGAGGCAGCAGUAGGGAAUAUUGGACAAAGGGCGCAAGCCUGAUCCAGCCAUGCCGCGUGAGUGAAGAAGGCCCUCGGGUUGUAAAGCUCUUUUGUCCGGGAAGAAAAGCAUCGGGCUAAUACCUCGGUGUUCUGACGGUACCGGAAGAAUAAGCACCGGCUAACUUCGUG
rnacentral:rRNA from 1 species